AUAUAUACUGUUUAGAAGAGCAUCAGGCACAUGGUAACUUAGUUCAAACUAUCAAUGCCAGUUUUGAAAAUGUUCCUUCUUUCACUCUGUCCCAGGGCUGUUGUGCAGCAAUUUCUUCCAAGAUAAAAAAAAAAUCCACCAUGGAAGAAAGCUUACUAAGUCUCAAGAUGUUCUAAUGGGAGACAAGUCAAGAUUCAGGAAAGAAACAAGACAAAAACAAAACAAAACAAAACAAAAAACAAAACCAGGAAGUCCCUAAAACUGACCAGAUUCGUGAGGUUCCUCCUUGUCUAGGCAUGUAGAAGCAGUAAGUUCUGCUGGACCCCUAGACCAUCUGAGCUGUCUGGAAGAGGUACUUUCCAAUCAAUUAAGCUGCCAAUAAGUCUCAUACCAAGCCGUGAUCCAUGCUAGGGUAGACUUUUGGUGAAGUAGCUGUCUAUGAACCUCUUCUACUUUUUUAGGUAAUCCCUCACCCAACUCCCAUAAGUAGUACCAACAGAACCCACUGGUUCAUCAAGCUGACCUCGCUGGUGGUAUCUUUAUUUGGUCUAUUAUUGGUUCCUUAUUUGGGGUGGAUGGAUAUUUGUUCAUAUCUCCCUGGAAAUGGUGACAUAUCCUUUCUUUGGUAAGCCUGUUUCUGAAAGCCAAAAUAUUAUCAACGUACAAGAGUAGGUGUGAGUAUUUGAAGACAUGGUUGACUUUUGCUCUGUCAUGAAAAAAAAAGAGAUCUCUACUAUAAGAGUGAGAGCAUAAUACUAUGGAUGUGUGAUUUAUAUAACCUGAAGACAUUCCAAUAACAUCUCCAGGAGAUGUUAUUGGAAUGGAGCUCCAGACAAAGAAUUUGUGUGAUCUAGAAUAUAUUAAAAUUUGAAGAUGCUUUGCUUCAAAAAUUAUCAGAAAAGAAAGGAAAGGCCACUCUCUGUGUCUCGGUCCCUCUCUUUUUCUGUCUGUCUGUCUGGCUGGCUGGCUGUCUGGCUGUCUGUCUCUGUAUCUUUGCAUGUCUCUCACCCUCAGGCUAGGGUAGCUUUAUUAAUGUAAGGAGACUUCCCUGUUUCUACAACCCUGUUUUGGCAGCCAUUGUACCAUUCACAGAAUUGGCCAUUUUCUAAACCAAGUUUCUGAUUUCUAUUUUGAAUUGUUGUCUAUGGACGCCUAUGAUAAAAAAUGUCUCCCUCCCUCAUAAGAUACUUCUGUAAGAGGUGGAAAAGAACUAGAACAGGAGGAAAUCAGAGCUAUUCUGAGAAGUAGAGCUUUCUCUAAGAGAGGAGGUGUGUAAAGGUAGAUGAGUGUGGAUCCCAACAAGAGUCCUGUGAUCUCAUCAGCUAUCACCCCAACUCCCUGCCUUUGUUAUUUAUUAUCAUCAUAUCCAAAUCUAAUAAAUAUAAUAUCCAUUAGCCUCCCUCCCUCCCCCCCUCUAGAUUUGAUGCAUAGCUCAGGCCAAGCUUGAACUGGUAAUCCUCCUGCCUUAUCCAAGCACAUCUUAUUUACCUUCCUUUCUCUGUAAAAACAAAUCCACAAUGGAUAGCCAUUCUACAGUUGCUCUUAUUGACCUAAAAAUAGAAAACCAACUCUAACAAAAAGCUAGAGAGAAGUAUUUUCCUAUGGGUGAUUCAUGUCACAGGCUCUAGGGACAGUUGUCAUACUUGGCACAGGUGAUCAAGGCAGGGGUGGGAGGGUGGCAGCACUCCAACCUAGUUCUCUCCAUCUCCAGGAUUGUUUAAUGGCAAGAGACCUGAUAGGAAGUUUGUUUGAUAUAGACUCACAAACACUGAGUCCAGUGAGAGAUGUUGUAGUGUAGCUGAGUGGCUGGGAACUUUUAAGGGUGGGGACUCUUUCCUCCAAUUCCAUGUCAGCUAGAGGGGUUUUGAUUUUGGAAAAAGUGAAGUUAAUAUGUUUGCUCUGUGCUGACAGGCUGACUGGACAGGAAUUGCUUUAUGCACACUGCAUGUACUAUACAUGUUUGAUCAUAUACAUACAUGCAUAUUUAAAUGUUGAAGUUCAUUCCUAAAUAUUUUCAAGUUCAUCUUCUCUAGUGCAUAUUUGUCACUUAUCUCCCGAACACUAUUGCCACCCUGUUUGCCCAAAAUAAUACAUUGUCUCAAGGAAAAUGGAAGUUAUCCAAUUGGAAAACUAGAAAGAAAGAGAACACAAACUGAACUUGCUUUUGAGGUCACCCUCAUGGUGUGAAAAUAAAGAACAAUCAGAACUAAAUCAAGAUUUUAGAAUUAUGGUAGAAGUGUGGAAUUAAAUGCUCUGUAGAUAUUCUUCUUCAGCAACUGAAACAUUUGAAAACUCUUGUGACCAAAGAACUUGUUUUCCCCCAACACUAAGUUAAGGGCAGACUCACUGACUCCAGACAGAAAGCAAUUACUUGGGGGAUAUUGCGUUGCUAUUGCCUGCAAUUUAGAUAAAGGAAGGAGAGAGCUGGUGGAUAACACACACACACACACACACACACACACACACACACACACACUUUCUCCAUAAAACUAGUCUAACAACAUACUUAAGCUUGUUUUUGUUUCUGGAACAAAGUAAAAACCAUCCCUCUUAAAACAUUCUGGGUCACAAAACAAACAAACAAUAAGAAAACAAAGAAAUCCUCACAACUUGCUGUUUUAGGAACAAGUAGAAACUACCUUCUCAUGGGACACAUAGAAUUUAGGUCAUAUAGUUGGCACCUCACUAGCAUUUCAAACAUUUAAAGCAAUGACUGCCCAUCGCUGUUCCCAUGCAGGGAAAUAUACCAGGAAAUGCUUUUCUCUGUUCUGUUUCUUCCCUCUUAGCUUAAAAAUGGUUAAACACAAAAGCUAUGAUUGAUCUUUAAUUAGAUAAGGACUUAUCUACAUUGCCUCUCAUCUUAUGCCCCACCACAUCAACCAGACUGGUUGCUCUACACCUCCUUGCAUAGACACAUAGCAGCCUCUGAAUCUUAAACUUAUAAUGGACUAUAAAAUGUGACCUUCCUCAUUUGGUCAGUGAUGGGGCCACGACAACAUGACAUUUCCAUUUGAUAAGCCAGGGUCAGAAGUCACUUGAUUGCUCUGAUUGGAUGUUGAAGAGUUAAAUACUUUGUUUUAUAAGUAAAUGUUUUAUUAGUAAAUUACCCAAACAUGUAUGGACCUGUUGUAUCUCUUACCCGAGGCCAGAGGGCAUCUCUAUCUGUGGAUAGAGAUGGUCAGAGGCUGUUUAUCUGGUGUGGUAUAACUCUGUGGAGAAAAUCUGCUGAGAAUUAGAGGCUGAUUUGGGGGAGCUCACAUGCAUUAUGAUCAUAGAAUCAAGCAAAGAAGUAGAGGAUAUGAUGUUAAGUGAAUAAAUUAAAGGGCUUUUUUUUUCCUUACAAAUGUUGACACUGUCUAUAUUCUGGGGAAGAAAGUUCACUUGUCAGUAGGACCUUAACAAAUGGAAGAGUGUUUUCUUAAAGUCCAAUUCAUUGCAAUGAUAAAGUUAGAAUUGUAGAGAUCUUCUUAUACGUACAACUCUACAUAAGUACUGUAUGCACAUAUUUAUGUACACACGUGUACAUAUUUAUACACAUAGAUGUGAUAUAUAAUACACACACCAUACACACAAUGGUUUAGAGAUGACUCCAGGAAUGAGAUGUUUUUCAUGUCACUGUUUGGAAUACCAGGAGCUAGGUGAGUAGGCAGAAGAGGUUUUGCCAAAUCACCAUGAAGAACACAAAAUACCUGAACUAAAACAUUGUGGGAAGAGAAGAAGGAGAAUCCUUUAUCCUACCUCUGGUCUCCCCUCUACUCUUCUCCCAAAUCAAUCUGUGACUGAGAAUAGGUGGAAGCAGUAUGAGCCAUGGCACUUUAAGGUCUUUUAGAAAAUGGGAUUUAUUUACAACCUUAAAAUUUCUCACUUGAGCAGGAUGUUUAAAAUAUUUAAUCCUGGAUGAUUUGGAGCCAAAGCCUUGCAAUUUUCCAGGUCCUUCCAGUCUGGUCACACUCAACAUUCCAAAUUUGGUGAUGCCGAUAGUCAUGAAGGUAGUGGACAUUCAGCUCACUAAACACAGAAAACAGAUUUCUCUUUCCAAUCCCAGAUUCAAGUCCAGCCUUUUGAAAUCCAUGGGCUUUUUCAGCACCCGUUUCAUAGAAAUUUUAUACACAUGCGUACAGCACACUCAAUGCAAAAGUAAACAUUAGGUAAUAACCAACCCAAACAUGCCUGGUCCCCAUAGGAGGCAAGGUAACACAUUCUUUGCCAUUAGACUGGUUCCUUGUCCAUACUGUUUGACUGUAUUCUGUGCCUAACCAAGUUGUGACUAAGAACAAGAAAAACAAGAAUCAGUGUUAAUUCAUCUAGCACAUCUCUUACUGAGCAGAAGAGAUGCGACUUGGUGUUUCCUAUCUAAUCGUUAACAUUCUGUCUUAGCACUGAGGCAUAGCGAUGCUCCAAUAGCUGGCCCGGCCUCCUCUUUAAACUGUGGUUUUCAUCAUUACUUCACUCCUCACAAUCAAGUCAGUGAAUUCUUACUUCCACACUGAUUUCCCCCAGACAUCUGCCUGAGCAUAGUAAUAGAAUGCCUUGGGUUUACAGUACAUAAGAUGAGUGCCCUUCUAUAUUUUAUACCACAUACUUGGUUUUAGGUAAUCAUAUUAAUUGGCAUGACUCAGAGAGUCAAUUCCACAAAGCAUUUAAACAGUGAGAGCUGUAAGAUUGCGUAACUGGUAAAAUGAACUAGGAUCCCAAGUCUGGGAUUUCAGUGGGACCUUCUCUCUCACAUGACCUUCCAAGACUGACCUUGCAUACAUCUUGCUGGAAAUGUAUGUUUCUGGAUUUCUUUCCCUAGACUUACCCAUCAAAUAUAUUUUCCCCACAGGAAUACCCAGUACCAUUGAAGUGGAUAAUUAACAUUCAAGGUGCUGAGACCAUGUCCACAUGAUGAAAAGUGUUUUGGAAGGGAAUAAAUGAGUGCAUUACUAAUGAACGAUUUUUUUCCUUUUACAAAAAGUCACUGAAUUACUCUAUCCAGGCAGCCUACUGUCCGAUAAUGCAUUGAUAAAUGGCGGAAUAGACAAUCACAUUAAGAAUGCUAGAACAUCAUUUGCGAUUCUCAAAGUUGCUAUUCAGAAUCAACAAGCAAUGGGCAAUGGACUUCCUCUCAGAAUUAGGGGUGCUAACUCACUUUAUGGGGCUGUAGCAAUGUUCUCAAUUGAGGACUGGGAUGUAGCUCCAACAUAGAAUAUUUGCAUAGUGCAGGCAAGGCCUUUAGCUCCAUCCCCAGUUUUGACAAACAUCCCCAGAAAUAAAAAAAAUAAAUAAAAAAAAAUGGAACAGAUAGCCUCUACUCUCCAGGACUGUUAUUUCAAGGAAGUAGUUUCCAAAAUGUAUUGUCUGGGAUGCACAAUGAGAAAUAUGUUUCAUAUUGUAAUGCAAAUUCAUAUGUAGAGCUGAGAGAAAGGUCUCUAAAGCAAUGCUUACUUUACUAUUGAAACUGUAGGCUGGUACUUUUUCAUUUCAUUGCAUUAUAUUUCACUGUAAAAAAAAAUGCUAGUUGCAAACCAUGAAAUUUGUAUCGCUGAAGGGGAGCCAUGACACAUACCUUGCAAAACAGUGACAUACUAGUUAGACCUGAUUUGUCUUAGUGAGUGAGUGAGUGUGUGUGUGUAUGUGUGUGUGUGUGUGUGUGUGUGUGUGUGUGUGUGUACAGGUGUGCUCACUCAUUCAGUUCAGAGGUCAUCAUUGGUUGUCUUCUUCUAGCACUUCCUCACCUUAUUUUGGGGGGACUGGUCCUAUUCCAAACCUGGGGCUUUACUGUUCUGGUUAGAAUGACUGUCUGGUGAGCUCCCUGGAUCUGCUUGUCACCCAUCACCCUCACCUCUACCUCAUGCCCACCAGCAAGCACUGGGAGUUUAAACCCAUUCCACCAUGACCAGAUGUUGACAGUGAUCCAAACUCAGGUCCUUUACCUUGCACAGAAAGUAUUUCACCCACUGAGCCAUCACCUUAACCCCAUCUCUCAUCUGAAUUCUUAUGACUAUAGGUCAUAGAUGAAAAAAGUUCAUUAAAAAAUGUGUCCUGGUGGGCUGAGUAGGUUAAGAAUCACCUCAAAGACUAAGAAUGAUCGACAGUGCAGGAUGGGGUAGCACAUGUUAAUAAGAAGCUGAUGGAAAAAUACGGAAGAAAUCUUCAGAGCAAAAGGGAAGGCGCAGAAGAGAAGUCAUAGUGGACGGGCAUUUAUGCUGAUCAAAGAACUCAAGCACACAAUGGAAGUUAGGUCUUUGUGCCAGAUUCUCCUCUUCCUGGCUCUGUAAACACAAGCGUGGUCGCCCCAGAUCAGAGGCCUGGUUCCGUGGUCUCUAACGCUGGCAAGCUAGAGUCUGACUAACCAGAGGAUAGUAAGAAUUUCUAAUAAUAGUGUUUAUAAAAAACACAGCAGGGCCUGGCGUGAAGCAAGCGUUCAGGAAGUACGUCAAGAAAUACUCCUUUGCAAGUCAGAUGUUGCUCAUACUGGUGAGUAGAAGAUUUCUUUCACCUAGAAUCUGGCUUUAACAUUCUAGCAUCCUGGACGGAACCCCGUGCAUUCAAAACAUUUCAUCAGGCAAGGUCAUACCUCCUGUUAACUAGCAGGCAAGGGCAACAACUCACCUUCCUUCCUUCCUGACUGUAAACCCAGUUGGUUAGUGUGCCAGUGAGGAAAGGCAUUCCCUGGCCGUGGCUCUUAGACAUUGGUGUACAUGGUGUUUUUAGGAUUUAGUGUGUGUGUGUGUGUGUGUGUGUGUGUGUGUGUGUGCAUUUAUACAUGUGUACCAUAUGCAUGACUGGUACCCAUGGAGCAUAGAAGAGGCCAUCAGGUUCCCCAGAACUGAAUUUACAGGUGACUGGGGACUGAUCCCUGGUCUCUUGCAAGAGCAACAAGCCCUCUUAACACUGAGCUGUCUCUCCAGGCCCAGAACAUGAUGUCUUUCUAUGCAUAUAUGUGAUAAAAUGAUUACGGCUGUCAAACUAAUUAACAUAUCUAUCAGUUCAAAUAGUUCCUCGCUUGAUAUGAAGUGAGGACACUUCUGAUUGAUACUCUUAGCAAAAGCCAAGGAGAUGACGCAAUAUCAUUACCUACAGUCUCAGGCUGUGUGCUGGUUUUUCGGAAAUCACCUUAGAGUCAAACCAAUAUCAAUUACCUAUGACUCAUCACUAUCUGCAUUGGUCACAUUGAUCUACUUAGAAAACGUUAUUUUAAAAAUCUGGUAGGGGAGGAUUUAGUAAUCUGAAAAUUGUAUUCCUGUGUUAAAUCAUUCUAUUUAGUAUUUAAAUUGCAUAAUACACAUAAAAAGUAUAGUGUAUAAAAAUUUUUUUUCAAGAAUAAACCUUUUGACCAUUAGGCUGACAUCUCCCCAUUUCCUUACCCAGCAGCUCCUGGAAAACUGACUUUUCCAUUCUUCUUUUCUAUGAACCCAACUUUUGGAGAUUCUGUACAUUAGAGACACUUAGUACUUAUAUUUCUGUGGCUGGCUUAUUUCUCUUAGCACAAUAUCCACAGUGCUUGUCCAUGUCAUGAAUAAAACGCUUUCUUCCACAAACCAGCAACCCCUAGCAUAGACUGGACAUCAAUCCAUAAGUCACACACUGUAAUUUCAUAUAUAUAUAUGAAAUUAUAUGACAUAUAUAUAUAUGAAAUUAUAUGACAUAUAUAUAUAUGUUGGUGGUCUCUUAAGAUAUCUUAAAGGACUGUGUUUAGAUAUGCACACAUUAUAUUGGAACUUCUUAAACUCUGAGUACCCAUUGCAUACUGCUAAGGGCAUCCAUAUUCACAAAUAUUUUACAUUUCAAUUUUACCUAGUAAGACAAUAUAAUAAUAUAUAGAGAUCACUUGGUUUGGCACAGAAGUAUUUAGUUACAAUUAGAAUAUAAAGAAUAAGAACAUUAUUUAUCCACUUUAAAAGAACAUGUCCUUUCAAGAUGUGGAUUUUAAAAAAUGGUAAAAGCAGUAACUGAUGAUAAUCUGUAGAAUACUCCAUUCAAAUUUCAUACUUCAUAUGAAAGAGAUGAACGACUAGAGGAUGGGAUGUUUGGGCUGAGGACAUGGUGCUGCCAACGAGGGUUGUGUUUUUUGUUGAAGGCUGGUUGUCUCUCCUAAGGAUGAGGUGUCUCGCCAGAGGGUGGAGUAUUUCUGUUGAGGGCAGGGUGCCUCUUUCAGAUAUUUUUUGUGCAUUUCAAGUUUAUUUGGGGUGUUUGAAUUCCCACUCCAGCAGAUUCUGACUCAGAAAGUUAGAGAUGAAGCUGGAGAAUUACUACAAGUCCCAGAAAUCAUCCUGACUCUAACUUGAGAUAUUGGUCUAGGAUACUUUCUACAGAUUUUGGAUGCUUUUUGCUCCCAGAGAUCUUGUUUAAUUUUUCAUUGUUAUUAAAUUUCUUUCAUACAAUAUAUUUUGAUCAUGUUUCCCCUUCCCCAAGAUCUCCCAGACACUACCCAUCUCUCUACUUAUCCAAUCUCAUUGCUCUCUCUUUUCCUCUGGUAUCCCUUGUACUUGUCUAUUAUGCAGAGUCUUUGUCAUUGGAUAUAAUACCAAGGAACAAGACUGAAGCAGCCUUCUGUGGGAAUGGACUUUCAGACCCAGAGGACUUCAGUAAGAUGGAAUUUUAUGGGCUGGAGAGAUGGCUCAGUGGUUAAGAGCACUGACUGCUCUUCCAAAGAUGGGCUAGAACAGUGAGCUGAUGGAUUCUCUGCCUGUGCUGUAUUUCUGCAAUGAAUGUAGACACGUGAUUACCAUACACAUGAUGGUCUAGAUCCAAAGGUCAGCAUCUCUAGGCUCUGUAUUGCACCCAAUCAAUGUGUGCUGAGGGCCUCACCCAGAUGUCAUCAUUUUCUUUUCAUUGUCUCCUUUUAAUAUAGAUUUCAUCUUGCUCAAUCUCUCUCUCUCUCUCUCUCUCUCUCUCUCUCUCUCUCUCUUCUUAUUUGAUGGGGGGAGGGGUCAUGUCCCCUUGCCCCUUGACAUAGUGCCAAUCUUGUGGAGCAAGGCCAGUCAUGACAGAAGGCUGUGUAAUCAGUCUACACAGGUUACCUUCAAACCUACUGAAGAUGACAUUGAACUUUGGUUUCUUCUACCUCUCUAUUCCUGGUUGAGAUCACUGGUCUAUACCAGCAUGUCUUUUAUGAAGUAGUGAGGAUCAAACCCAUUGUGCAUGCUAGGCAAGCACUUUACCAACUAAGACCCUCUACCAUCCCUAAUGUUUUAACCCCAAACUUUGAUUAAUGUGUAGAUGUGGUGGGUGACUGAGCUUCCAUUUCUUACUGGCCAUGCUUUCGAAGACCCUUAGAUUUGUACCCUCCUUUCUGAAAAGGAGGACAGGGGAUGGAGAGGAUUAAAAUUAUUUUAAGUGCUGGUGAGAAUAUCAAAGGUCAAUAAGGAGUUGAGGACAAAAUGCUAAAGACUCUGGAUGAUCAAAUAAUUGUUCUUUUUCUCAAAAUUUCCAAUGAAAUUUGUUAUUCUAAAAAGGAUAUUGAAAAGGUGUUAAUUUAUCCAGUUACAUUGGUGAAAGGGGAAUGUUCCAGAGGCCAGAGGGCUUUUUUUUUUCCUUUUACGUAAAGGCAUAGCUGUGCUCUGUGAAAAGAGCUGAGUCAUGGGAACAUUUGGGAGCUUUUUUUCUCUUCUUUCUUCUUCUUCUUCUUCUUCUUCUUCUUCUUCUUCUUCUUCUUCUUCUUCUUCUUCUUCUUCUUCUUCUUCUUCUUCUUCCUCUCCUCCUCCUGUGAGUAUGUAUUAAUGAGAAGCUUGGCCCCUACUACAAGGUUAAUUUCCUUGGGAUGAACCAUAGCUUUUUUGACUUCCUAUCACACUCCCCAGAAACCUCUGCAGUCUACCAUCCUCCAGGCAAAACUCAUUUACAUUUUUUAUCUCCCUACAGUCGGGUAUGAAAUUCCAGCGGUCAUGUUCAGGCAUAGCUUAACAUAAGAGUCACCUCGAUGAGCAACGGCUUAAUUUUCAGUGACAUUUUGAGUCUGUAGAUCUGGACUGGUGGAGACUUCUCUAUUGUGACACGUUCAUUCUAUUGCAACUGCCCUGGAGCCAAAUGCAUCCUGCAAACAGCCAAGUGGAAGAUCUCACACAGAAGCCGUUUGUAAAUGGUUCCCAGGUGGCUACAACACAGCAAACUUUGAGACUUCAGACUCCCAGCGCUCAUCUUCCCAAUGAUCCAUCCCAGAAAGGUGAACAUAUGACAAUGUUUCUAGAAGAAAAGGAGUUAUUGGAGACUCAACAAAACCAGGAUUUGGAAGAGGACAGGCAAAUAUUAUUUGACAGAGCUAGAAGCUCAGCUGCGAGCUCCUUUCCAUCCAUUGGAGAAGGGUAUCCUGCUCGGUGGGGAUUUUUUUUUUCAGACACGUGGUGACUGAUGCUUGUGUCUAGGGAAGAAAUUUUGACCCCACUGUUGAACUGUGUUGGGAGAUCUGGAUUCCAGAACGUUCACAUGGAUCUCUCAGUGAUCCUGAUUUGUCCCUGUGAGCCUUGCUUUCACCCCACCACAAGGAGGAAUGGUGAACUUCGUCUUCACUGUGAAAUGUGCUCUUCAUGCAGGCAACCAAACCAAAGAAAGAGAUGAUCAGAUCUGUGUAAUGGAACACUCCAGUGCUGAUUGGUUGGGGGGAAAAGACUCCCCCAUGCUUGUCUUUUUAUUUUGAAACGAUCAAUGGCCACAAGCGCAUUAAGUUAUACUCUUGAUGUAUCUAGUUGCAAGGUAAGAAGCCUGUGUAAAGAGUUGACUUAAUAUCUGCAUAGGUGAAGUGGAGAGAUACUGGAUGGGCACGCAUGCGCAUGCCUGCUUCCCAGGGACUUGGCUUUGAUCUGGAGUGAUCUCCCCCUUGGUGACCCCUUGGCUGGCUACUAAGUCUAAAUAGUUGUCUGGCAUCCUUUCUCUUGGUCUCUUUGUUCUUUUAUUCAACAAUUGCGUCUUAAAACCCAAGAAGCCACCAGGGACUCCCACACAGGUGGUGGAUCUUUUAUCUGUUCCUCUGUGUUGUGAGAUACACUGGGCCUAACACACUUCCGGGGUAAUCCAGCUUUUGUAUACUCAGGGCAGCUAGUUUAAAAAUGUGACUGGAGGUAUCUUGGCUUCUGCAGCUGGUAUCUCUGGAUAGUUGAUUUAGCUACAGCAUUGUUGACUACGCCUGUAUGCCUGUAUUCAAGAUCGAAAACGCCAGCUGUGCUGCAAUCCACACACAGGUCAAUAUACAGUCCUUCGUUUCAGUAAUCCCGACUAGCAAGGAGAGGUGUCCCUGCUGUGUCGUCCUCACCCUUUCUGUUUUAGGAAGGUCAAAGGUGAGGUUCAAUGUUGCCCUUAGUACCCGGAAGUGGAGCCAAGACCGGAGGAAAGAACACCCCGUGGCGAUCUCAUACCUAUGAUGUGGGCGAACAGUGGCCAGAAGCCAAGAAAAGCUGCAGAACCUCUGGUCUGCUCUAGGGUGAAGCGUGGUAGGUUUCCUUGUGGAGCAGGGAUUGUUUGCUUCUCAAAACUGAACAGAGUGUUGUAAGCCACAUUCCUCUUCAAUCUUUCGCUUGUUUAUAUGUCUUCAACUUUAGACAACCUUCCUGGAAUUAUCUUCUAGCGAGAAGUAAAAAGUUAUUUUAUAUGAGCAA